UACGUAGGGGGCAAGCGUUGUCCGGAAUUAUUGGGCGUAAAGAGCGCGUAAGCGGUCUGAUAAGUCGGUUGUGAAAGUCGGGGGCUCAACCCUCGGAUGCCGAUCGAUACUGUCAGGCUAGAGUCCGGAAGAGGCGAGUGGAAUUCCUGGUGUAGCGGUGAAAUGCGCAGAUAUCAGGAGGAACACCAAUGGCGAAGGCAGCUCGCUGGGACGGUACUGACGCUGAGGCGCGAAAGCGUGGGGAGCAAACAGG
rnacentral:rRNA from 1 species